CCCUUAGAUGUUCUGGGCUGCACGCGUGCUACAAUGGCGCUUGCAACAAGUCUUGCCAACCCGAUAGGGUGAGCGGAUCUUUGAAGAGGCGUCGUGAUCGGGACAGUUGAUUGCAAUUAUUCGACUCGAACGAGGAAUUCCUUGUAAUCGCGAUUCAUCAUAUCGCGCUGAAUACGUCCCUGCCCUUUGUACACACCGCCCGUCGCUCCUACCGAUGGGUGAUCCGGUGAAUGAUUCGGACUUCAGCGGCUCCCCUGGGGUGCGCCGGAGAAAGUUUUGUGAACCUUAUCACUUGGAGGAAGGAGAAGUCGUAACA
rnacentral:rRNA from 1 species